UCCUCCCUCUUUCUUCGUGCUUAACACAUGCAAGUCGAACGGUAAGGCCCUUUCGGGGGUACACGAGUGGCGAACGGGUGAGUAACACGUGGGUGAUCUGCCCUGCACUUUGGGAUAAGCCUGUGAAACUGGGUCUAAUACCGGAUAGGACUACGCGAUGCAUGUCGUGUGGUGGAAAGCUUUUGCGGUGUGGGAUGGGCCCGCGGCCUAUCAGCUUGUUGGUGGGGUGAUGGCCUACCAAGGCGACGACGGGUAGCCGGCCUGAGAGGGUGUCCGGCCACACUGGGACUGAGAUACGGCCCAGACUCCUACGGGAGGCAGCAGUGGGGAAUAUUGCACAAUGGGCGCAAGCCUGAUGCAGCGACGCCGCGUGGGGGAUGACGGCCUUCGGGUUGUAAACCCCUUUCAGCACAGACGAAGCGUAAGUGACGGUAUGUGCAGAAGAAGCACCGGCCAACUACGUG
rnacentral:rRNA from 1 species